CCCCCCCCCCCUCAGAUGUGGUUUCUCCUUCACCUCAAGUGUUCUACAAUCAAGUUUAUAGUUUUAAAGACGAGGCUGGUGGAGUUCUACGUAUUCUUGUUUCUCCAUAAAUCCCAUGAAAAGGAAAACUGAACAUUAAGAGUCCGUGGCUCUCACGACUAAGCAUGUUUUUAUAUUUACAUUUUUUUUAAAUGAAUGAAUGAUUUUCUAAAAUACCCGAGCACUGUAGUUUCUCGAACAAGAUUACUUUAAUUGAUAGGCCUGUUCCACCGGGUGCAUGUGCAGCAGCAGGACGACGAUGGAGGCAGAAAGAAGCCACACGUACUACAUUCGUGGAUCGAGCGUUUUCAUGGGAUUUGCUGGAACUAAGAAACACGUAGAAUCCUCCACAUUCUUUGCCAGAGGUUGUGCGUUGUGCAUGUGUAAGAUAACACAGACAGGUUUCUGUUUUGGGAUGAUGAGAGCACAGGUUUCGAAUACGAGGCAGCACUUACAAUGUAAAAAUAUUUUCCCUUUCUAUUCUAGAUAAAGAAAUGAAUCAGUAAUCUACAAAUCAUUUGUGUAGUGAAAUUUGCUAAUGGUGUUUGUAUUUUGUUUUGUGUAAUUACGACAAUUUCCUUUAAACAAUUUCAUGAUUUGUCUUAGCGAAGAUCUCAUCAGUAUAUGUGAACAUUUUAAAAACUCCUUGUCCGGUAUUGAGAAUAGAGGUUUGGAAUCAGGGUAUUUCACACUUGUUACUGUCACGGGGGAAAUGUUUAAACUUCUUUUCUAAUUUCAAAGUGGAUGAAAUGGUACAGAAAACUAUAUUGAACCAUAAGUACAGAUUUCUACCACGCAGCUGCUUUAAAUGGAGCAUUUAUGUAAUUGAUGAUUCCCCGACAAAAGAAUCAAAGCGCCUGUGUCAGAUUGUGUUUACUUUCCGUCUACAUCUUUCUGAAAACUGGGACGUCAAAAGGAUUUGCUUCGUGACAAAGACGUAGUGUUGUAGACGAGAGCCGGAAUGUUUGCUAACUAAUACCACUCAAUCCGACAAGCAGAGUAUAUCAAAUACCAUUGUGAUAUGUACUUUAAGCCGACUUUUCUCCCUGUUAAUGUGAACGCACUGAUACAUCUGUGAUAUUUUUAUAAAAUUUUACAUCAAACCUGGAUUAUUGUCUGUUUAAUUCAAUGGGAAAGUCUGAGAAGAUAACAAACGUCAGAAUAUCCGGUACAAAUAAAGCCCCAUACAUGGACUGCUGUAAGAAAUAGUUGUUUAUUUGCAUCGUUAUUAUUUACAAGAAGGACCGUUAGACAGUCGAUUGUGAUAUGAAGGCGAGUUCAGGGAGGAUUGCAAAGGGAUAACAACAUUUUUUGUUGUUGUUGUUGUUGUUGUUGUUGCUCGCAGCAAUGGUCCGGUUUAACCUGGAGUCUAUUUCUGAGCAUCCGAUAAGCCUGCGUGGGGAAGAGGGCCGGGGAGGGUUUAAACAGCAGACGGGGAUGGAUGGAAAUCAGGUCCACUUUUAUUUCUCCGCGAGAGGUGAACCAGACGCUGGUUUGGAAGGCCACACAACCGCCCAGCCUGCAGGUUCAGGUUCAGGUUGAGUGCGAUGGGAGACGUGCGAUGGGAGACGUGCGCUCAGCCCUGUUUGCCCCGGGAGCUGCCGUGUUUGCGGCGACAGGACCCCAGCAGUGUCUCCAAAGCCAUCUUCACAAACGCCUGGAAGUUAUUGCUUCUCUCCCUUCGGCUGUCCUGCUAGGAGAAGAAGCGCAGACAGAUACCUACACUUGGAAUGUCUUUUUUUAAUUUUUUAAUUUGUGUUUAAACUUGGAAUGCAUCUACUGUGUGCACAGGUUUGAUCCACCGGGUCAAAAUGUCAUGCGGACCAAAUGCAGCCUCGUGUAAAUGCUUACCUCCUUGCUUUUUGGUAUCAUCUCCUUUCGGCUCAGCUUUCUUCGGCUGCUCUUUAGGACUCUGAGGUUGCUGUGAAGUGAAGGCAAUAAUAACCGUCAAAUGAAACAAUAAAUACUCAGUAGAAAACUAGUGUAUGAGUACAGUAUAGUAAUGAUUUUUCCUACCUUGGUAGCUGACUUCUUGUCCGACUUAUUACCUGAGAACGGAAACAGACAGACGUUAAUUUUUGAAUUAGCCAUUUAAACGUAUACACCAUUGAACAUGCAGCUCAGCUAGCACGUAGAUAAAUAAAAACAAAACGUAUUUUUAUCUAAAUAAAUGUUUCUUUCCCAUUUUGUACCUUUUGUUCCAGGCAUUUUGGCUGUGCUCCAGUCAGGUCUGAUUCCUGAGAAUGCAGUGCUCAAUGCGGCGUUCAACUCGGCCAUUUAUGGCCCUUGCUUGUGAAUGACUCCGUCACCGGGGCCCCUUUGAGAUAGAGCGCCUCGAACAAGCAAAGAGCCCCGUCAGCUGAGCAGCUCCGCAGGUCUCUGCUGAGCCAGGCGAAACCUCCGAGCUGAC
ensembl:lncRNA